GCGCAUGUGGCGGAAUGGUAGACGCGCCAGCUUGAGGGGCUGGUGGAGAUUUCUCUGUGGAAGUUCGACUCUUCUCAUGCGCA
rnacentral:tRNA from 1 species